AUGACUUCUAUCGCUUUUUAGAAGGCUUCUAUGACUUCUUUUGUUGUAAGCCUCUUGUAUAUUUUUUUCCUCAGUGCCACCAAAUUACUUCACUCAAAGCGAUUUUCAUGCUUUUCUGCUUCUUGCACUAAGGCUCUGUGAUGACCCUAGGAGAACCACUGCAUUCCUGAGUUUUCAUAGUUGUCUACAGCUAGGCCCUUUGAAGUUCAGCAGUUCUAUGAAGUUCUGCAGUGUGAAGUAUAUCAACUUGCCCCUCCUUAGCAGUACGAGACUUUUUCACACUUUAUCUAUUGGACUAGAAGUGCUGAUUCUUUCACUGCAAAUUUCUUCUUCAACUGAUUGAUUUUAUUUUUCAUAAACUCAGAAUUACUUUCCUCUAACUCUAUUUAUUUAAUUCUUCUUUUCAGUCCUCUGUGUUUAGAAUGCCACUGGUUUUUAUUAUUACUAUGAUUGGUAAAACCAGCCAGCUAUGAUGACUGGGUCAAAGUCUUCUUAUUUAGUUUAGAUAUUCAAACUUUUCUUUUUGAUUUAAAAAGAAAAGAAAAAGGACAUUUCUACACAUCAGUGAUUUGAUGCAUAUGGAAUGACACUAUUGCUGCCAUCUAUACUCCCUUUGAAGAAAACCCUGAAAAAUCUAUUCCCCAUCUCUUACUAGUUUUCAAUGAGAGGAAUGCUUAGGUUUCAGUGAUGAAAAUCAAAUCCUUCCCAAAAGUUUGACAUUACACACUUUUGAGGAUAAAUAAACAGACAUAAAUAAAGAGACAGUUCAUCAUAGCAAAAAAAGCAUUGGAGUCUGAUGGAAAUGAAUGAAGCUGGAAUCCUGGCUUGGUGACUUCCCACUGUGUAAACUUUGCCAUUUUAAUAAACUCUCUAAGACUCAUUUUCAUUAUUUAUUUC
rnacentral:lncRNA from 1 species